UACCUCUUCUCCUGGGGUGAAACAGAUCUGCCUCACAAGAAAGAGCCGCGUACGCAUAUGCAUUUUAUAAUAGAUAGAGAGAGAAUGACACAGCAUAACCAACUCAAGCAAAACCAUCGAGUAUUGAAGCUCUUAGCAUGCCAGAGGAUGAUUUCAAAAAGCAGAGGGACAACUUAAGGAUCACAUUCGAUAUGCAUGUACGACAGAUAGCAAGGUGCACUAUAUUGGGGAUCCCACAUCAGUCCAGACA
rnacentral:misc_RNA from 1 species